rnacentral:rRNA from 1 species
GACGAACGCUGGCGGCGUGCUUAACACAUGCAAGUCGAACGAAGAGCGACGGAAGCUUGCUUCUAUCACUCUUAGUGGCGAACGGGUGAGUAACGCGUAAUCAACCUGCCCUUCAGAGGGGGACAACAGUUGGAAACGACUGCUAAUACCGCAUACGAUCUAACCUCGGCAUCGAGGAUAGAUGAAAGGUGGCCUCUACAUGUAAGCUAUCACUGAAGGCGGGGAUUGCGUCUGAUUAGCUAGUUGGAGGGGUAACGGCCCACCAAGGCGAUGAUCAGUAGCCGGUCUGAGAGGAUGAACGGCCAAAUUGGGACUGAGGCACGGCCCAGACCCCUACGGGAGGCAGCAGUGGGGAAUCUUCCGCAAUGGACGAAAGUCUGACGGAGCAACGCCGCGUGAGGGAUGACGGCCUUCGGGUUGUAAAGCUCUGUUAAUCGGGACGAAAGGCCUUCUUGCGAAUAGUGAGAAGGAUUGACGGUACCGGAAUAGAAAGCCACGGCUAACUACGUG